CAUAACCUCAGAACUCCAGUUCAGUGUCCCAGCCAAAUGCUAGCCUUGGCCAAACAGCAAGCUUCCAUUUCUACCUGUAACACGUAGCACAUGCAGAAGCUGCAGGGACAGCUACAUCACAGCUCCACCACAGCCUUGGGUCCCCACUCUUCUUUCACAAUUUUUCACCUUCACCAACUGCAUUACUUUAGUCACUUCUGCAGCAACACUGCAGGCCAGCUAGCACUUUCUCCAGUUCCGUGCCAUCAAACUGGGAUGUCGCAACUAAACGACUGAGAUCUAAUUACAGAGGCAGAGCACGCCAGUAAAGAAGAUGAGCAACACGAGAAAAGACAGCACUAUCCCAAAGAGGCGCACGAGGGGGAGCUCAGCUGGCCGGGAGUGGGGCAAGUGGAUAUCACAAAGCUGCAGGAAAAGCACAGUGCAUGCAGUUUUGCUAGAUCUUCAGCCUUGAGAAGCCUUCACAAAGAAUGUUUGAAAAUCACUACAACAUCACAUACACCAAUGCUUUGCCUUUAGACUUCAGAGUAAUGAAGAGCGCUGCAGUCCAGUAAAUAUCGUGAAUAAACAGAAUACAGUGAGGAAGGAAAGUGGAGCAUAAGGAAGGAUAUACCUGAAUUAAGACCAUUGGCUACCUAUCAUGAAGCAGCACUUUUGUUUAAAAUUCAUGGAGAAGGUUCUGCAGUUUACCUGUGCUUAUUUCUCAAAAAGCUUCUGUGAAUUGCCCAUAAGAAAGAUAAUUUCUUGCUACACACAGGCAAGGCACUUGAUUUCAGGAUCAUUAUGAGAGAGAAAAGGAUUUCUUGUACUUGUGAGAUAAAAAGAAUAUCAAUAGUUACAGCAGACCUUGCCUAGGACACCAGAUCUAGUCUAUCACAAUUUGGUCUCAGAAGUAAUCCCAGAAAUACAGACAGAGGUUUCUAGGGAGAAGUAUCUUGGGUCCUUUAUUAUGUAAGAACAACCGCAAGACUAUGAAAUUACCAAUGCUUUUCUCUGUGC